rnacentral:rRNA from 1 species
AUGAACGCUGGCGGCGUGCUUCACCCAUGCAAGUCGCACGAAGCACUUUAUUUGAUUUCCUUCGGGACUGAUUAUUUUGUGACUGAGUGGCGGACGGGUGAGUAACGCGUGGGUAACCUGCCUUGUACAGGGGGAUAACAGUUGGAAACGGCUGCUAAUACCGCAUAAGCGCACGGCAUCGCAUGAUGCAGUGUGAAAAACUCCGGUGGUAUAAGAUGGACCCGCGUUGGAUUAGCUAGUUGGUGAGGUAACGGCCCACCAAGGCGACGAUCCAUAGCCCACCUGAGAGGGUGACCGGCCACAGUGGGACUGAGACACGGCCCAAACUCCUACGGGAGGCAGCAGUGGGGAAUAUUGCACAAUGGGCGAAAGCCUGAUGCAGCGACGCCGCGUGAGCGAAGAAGUAUUUCGGUAUGUAAAGCUCUAUCAGCAGGGAAGAUAAUGACGGUACCUGACUAAGAAGCACCGGCUAAAUACGUG